rnacentral:rRNA from 1 species
GUGGGGAAUUUUGGACAAUGGGGGCAACCCUGAUCCAGCCAUGCCGCGUGCGGGAAGAAGGCCUUCGGGUUGUAAACCGCUUUUGUCAGGGAAGAAAUCCUUUGGGUUAAUACCUCGGAGGGAUGACGGUACCUGAAGAAUAAGCACCGGCUAACUACGUGCCAGCAGCCGCGGUAAUACGUAGGGUGCGAGCGUUAAUCGGAAUUACUGGGCGUAAAGCGUGCGCAGGCGGUUUCGUAAGAUCGAUGUGAAAUCCCCGGGCUCAACCUGGGAACUGCAUUGGUGACUGCAAGGCUGGAGUGCGGCAGAGGGGGAUGGAAUUCCGCGUGUAGCAGUGAAAUGCGUAGAUAUGCGGAGGAACACCGAUGGCGAAGGCAAUCCCCUGGGCCUGCACUGACGCUCAUGCACGAAAGCGUGGGGAGCAAACAGGAUUAGAUACCCGGGUAGUCC